AUUAGCAGCUUUUUCACCCUGCAACUCACAACUGGCAGCCUGCUGGAGUUCAGCAAGUGUGAGCCUGGCCAGUACCUGGAUGGGAGACCUCCUGGGAAAGCCAAGGUUGCUGCAGGAA
rnacentral:rRNA from 1 species